rnacentral:lncRNA from 1 species
GUUUGAUCUCAGACCGCCGUGCUAGCAAUCAGCGAGACUCCAUGGGUGUAGGACCCCCCAUUCCCAGCCAGAUGUGGGAUAUAAUCUCGUGGUGCGCCGUUUUUUAAGCUCGUGGGAAAUGCGCAGUAUUUGGGUGGGAGUGACCCGAUUUUCCAGGUGCGUCCGUCACCCCUUUAUUUGACUAGGAAAGGGAACUCCGUGACCCCUUGCGCUUCCUGAGUGAGGCAAUGCCUCGCCCUGCUUCGGCUCACGCACGGUGCACGCACCCACUGACCUGCGCCCACUGUCUGGCACUCCGUAGUGAGAUGAACCCGGUACCUCAGGUGGAAAUGAAGAAAUCACCCGUCUUCUGCGUCGCUCAGGCUGGGAGCUGUAGACCGGAGCUGUUCCUAUUCGGCCAUCUUGGCUCCUCCCCGUGACUUUCAAAUAAAACUCAGUACAAAACAAGCAGACACCCAUGGCCUUUCCAUGUCUAAGGACUAUUCACGAUAGCAAGGAAA